GGAUCAAUUUAUUGGUCGUGCUAUUGUACGUACUGGUAUUAUUGAUUCCUAUCUUCUGACGAACCAUGAUGUCAUUAAUUUGGUGUCAUGGGGAAUCAGGACUGUUACUUUGAAAAAAUUAGAGUGUUUAAAGCAGGCUCACGCUUGAAUACAUUAGCAUGGAAUAACGAAAUAGGACGUUUGAUUCUAUUUUGUUGGUUUCUAGGAUCGAUAUAAUGAUUAAUAGGGAUAGUUGGG
rnacentral:rRNA from 1 species